rnacentral:rRNA from 1 species
CCAGACAGCCAGGAUGUUGGCUUAGAAGCAGCCAUCAUUUAAAGAAAGCGUAAUAGCUCACUGGUCGAGUCGGCCUGCGCGGAAGAUGUAACGGGGCUAAACCAUGCACCGAAGCUGCGGCAGCGACGCUUAUGCGUUGUUGGGUAGGGGAGCGUUCUGUAAGCCUGCGAAGGUGUGCUGUGAGGCAUGCUGGAGGUAUCAGAAGUGCGAAUGCUGACAUAAGUAACGAUAAAGCGGGUGAAAAGCCCGCUCGCCGGAAGACCAAGGGUUCCUGUCCAACGUUAAUCGGGGCAGG